AGCCGGUUUCGUACACACCUCAACGCGGGGCACUGCUGAAGGCACUCGCUGGGGGCAGGCCCCAUCGCUGCGGGUUCCGGAGGAUAACGCAGGCCGCCCUCCGCCCCACCAGGACCGCCCCGCACGGCCAUCAGCUCCGGAGAGGCACGGGUGGUCUCCGGCACGAGCUAUACAACGAACCACUCGUCCUCCACGUUGUCCCCGCACAGCGCGGUGCCGCCGAGGAGCGUCUCCUGCCAGAACAGAAUCACACAACCAUUCCGGUUGGGAAAGCCCCCUCGGGGCCCCGCAUCCCGCACACCGGCACGUACCGCAGCCGGAAGCGCUGCCAGAUGGAGGCGCCCAGCAGCGGCUCCAGGCGCACCGCGGUGCCGUCGCCGCGGCCGAGAGGCGGUAGUGCGCGGCGUCUUCGGCCGGCGCGGUUCUUUCGCAGUCCUCCAUCGCGCCGUGCCGCGCUCAACGCUCCGCCUCCCAGCUGCUCCUCCCGUCUCCCUGCCUCCUUAACCAAACGCUGAAUUACCAAGUGCUACUCCUAACGGUUUGCCCAGGCUCCGGCUAGAGGCCGCUGUUAAUCUCAUCGGAGAGUGAGCUUCCACAGGGCACAGAUACAUCACAGCUGAUUUCGGGGGCUGCAGCCCAUCACUGCAGGGUUUGACAUGAAGGAAUGAUGCUGGUUUCCAAGCCAAGGCCUCUAAUACCGUGUUCAUCCUGGAGUUUGUCCUGGUACCUUAAUUCUAACAUGAAUGAGGCUAACAAGAACAAGUGUAAAAGAGAUGUUGAAAUAUUGUCUACAAUGAAGAGAAAUUACCUGGACACCUUUCAGCAGAAAUUGCUGUGUGCAAGCUGAUGUCUUUUUCCUUUUACAAAGGAUUUUAACAACCUUGUUGCAUAGGACUUAAAGAAAUCAAAUGUAUGGACUUUUUUUCUGUAUAUGCUUUUGUGAAUUUCCUGCUGUCUUGCUCUGUGGCCUUUUUGAAAUUAAGAGUUUUGGUAUUUGUGCUCCUGACUAAAAUUAAUGUGAGACAUAGUUUGAAUACCUAUAGUUAAUUGUUCUUUUACGCGCUCUGCCUUGAAAAUAGUUUUUAUUUGUGUAGAGGGCACGGUAUGCAUUUAUGAAAGUUAAUCUCCAUAAUUAACAAAGCCUUCUCCUAUUGUCUAUUAAACUUUCUUGAACUCUUCACAUGGUUGAGCAGAGGUUAGAAGAGAUUGAAGUUAUCCGAGAAUCUUCUGACAAAUGAUCUCUGUAUGUGGAAAGGUAUGUACACAUAGGAUAGGGAUUUCAACUAACAGAGCAGAGUCAGUAAGAUUUUGCUCACUUAGUUUGUUCCACUUUGUAUCUUGAAUCUUAUUUGUCAAGUCUUACUGAAGCCUUAUUGUGUUCUAAACAAGCGUGUAGAAACUUGCUGUUUCUCUGAGAAAUUGUGGUAACGAUCCCUGCAUGCUCCUUUUGCACAAUGAGCUGUCUGUCCCCCGAGAGGGACAAAAAUACUCUCCGGACUUUUGAGUUCUUCUAGGAUAUCUUCCAGCACAAUUGGUUCAGCCCAUAUUUACAGGAAAGAAUACGGUUGCUUAUGCUGAUGUUAAUAUGCAAUUACUUGGAUGCAGGGCUUCUUGUGCUGUGAAUGUACGAGGCUGCCAAGCAGAGAGCACAUGAAAAAGUAAUUGUUUGUUUGAAUGGUGUGGCACGAUACCGCAGUUCUUCAAAGCAUUAUGUGAACAGUACAGAUACAGAUGUCCUGAGUGCUUCACCUCAUUCACCCAACUGCACUUGAAGAUGUCCUUGGAAUGAGGAACACUUCAAAGAUUCAAGUCCAAGUUUCAAGUUCAAUGUGGUUGUUGAAGAGCACCAGUGUUUAAGCACUUUACUCCAGGCCUCUCUUCGGUUCUGAAAGCAUCAGAUAACAGCUGCAAGCUUUAAAAAGCAGCUGGAUAUAAGUGGUGUACCCUAUAAUCUGUUCAAAGCCUUUUGUACUGUAACACUUCUGUCUUUGAAACCAAUAAUCUCUUUUUUUUUGUUUCAAACUUUUUGAUGGAUUAUGUUUCUUGGAAUUGCCCAGACUCUCUAAACUGAGGUUUGUUUUGAGGAACUGUAGGGGCUGGGUUUUAAUUUGUCCCAGUUUUCUCCUCUUGCUGUAUUAUGCAAGCUUCUCAUUUUGUGUUUAUACCAUUAAGAUAUUGCUUAGGAAUACUAUUACUUGAAUAGUUCUGGAGAUCAAAUUGCCCAUGGAAAUACCACAUGCGAUAAUGCUGUUAUACUCUGAUUAUAUUAUAUGCUAUUGUGUAUUGUAAUUAGACAUAUUUUAAAAUAGUAUCCCCUAAGGCCAAUGAAAUCAUGUAAUUCAGAACUACUAGGUUAUCCUAAGCAGUCUGAAGGUUCUGGAUGAGUAGACCAGCUCCUGGAAGUCAGUUUCGUGGGAGACCUAUUGGACAACCCUGUGGAGAAAGCUGCUGGCAGCUACUACUGUCUGGGAAAUUGGUUAUAUAAUGUGUGAUGGAGUUUAAAGGGCCCAAGGGGAGCAUUUUGUUAACGAUAGGGAAUAAAACUGCCCAUAGGAAUACUGAGGAGCUGGAGGUAGGAAGCGGUUCCAGUGUUGAGAAUGUUUUGUCUUAGUUCUGACUGUAAGUCUUCUCUCAGGAAGAGAGGUGGAGUGGUUGGAUAUGUUUGUAGCUGCAUGCUGUUAUCUAAAACUACUUGUAUUUUUUAUACAAUACUUUGAAGCAAUUUCUAUGAAGUUAUGUGUUAAGCAUUGUUAUUAAUUGUAAGCAGUUGUUUGUAAUGCUUUGAACUAAGUAAAAUCACCUUCAGGUGAUUUUUCUUUUUUUUUCCCCCUCUAGUAUUAUCCUCACUAGUAUUGCUUCUGCACAUCCUUAACGGUACUAUGCUGAUACAACCUAUCUGAAUAAAGUGAAAUAAUGCUUCCUUUGCAGUGUUCAGAGUGCAG
ensembl:lncRNA